ACGUGGCAACCCGGGCUGAGUAUGAGAAGUGGUGUGUAGGCGACGCUGGGAGGUGCCCCCACCCCAGCUGUCCAGGGACUUCACUCGUGAGUUAAUUCCUGGAGAAGCUUGCAAAAGACAAAAAGGAUGAUCAGCUGAGGUGAAGAAUAGUGGAAUUUUCUACAUGACUUCUGAAGACCAGCUCUAGAUAAGAAAGGAAAUUUAAUGAGACAAAAGCUGAAGUGUUGUCCUGGUUUCGGCUGGGAUAGAUUUAAUUUUCCUUCUAGUGGCUGGUAUAGUGUUAUGGUUUGGAUUUAGUAUGAGAA